rnacentral:ncRNA from 1 species
GGGUGGGUUCCAUUCACAAAGGAUCGUCCGGCACGUACCUGCCGGUGAAGGAGAAAAUCA